GUCGCUAGUGUUGCCCUUGUUGUUUUUAUAACGUAAAACGAGGCGAAAAGUGCGAAACAAAUUGUAGCUGAUUAAUACUUCCUGUGAUUAUAUUCCUGUGAUUUCUUAUAUCAAAUUGAACUUCGUAACUUGUAUGCAUACUGUCAGUCAUUCCCAAAAGUUGACUUAGCGCUCAGUCACUUUCCCUCAAAUAGACCCAUCAUGUUGUCAAAAACCUAAAACUCAUAUGUGAAGCUCAAAUAUCGUGGAAUACAAAUGUGCGGAGACGAGGUAUUUCCCCAUUACUGCUACCAACCCCACCACGUCAAAUGCCUUACUAAAUUCAUCACCAUUCACCCAUAUGAUAAAGCAUCAGGAAAUUUACCUAAACCUGAGGAGUAAGGCUGUUGGUUGCUGUGAUUUCCAUUUUUACGGUUUUUUAUCAUGAAACUUUCAGUGAGCUUGUUACUUAAGAGCACGUAAUAGAUCCUUAAGCCAAUGCGUACCUUUGUCCAUGACGGAAGAGAGACUUCCAGCAAGUUUUGCUCCAUCCUCAUCUUCCCGACGUACACUCAUCUAGCUUCACUGCUUUUGCUGCUACAACUUGUCUUAUUUCACCGACGAGUUGGAACACUUCCGUGGUCGCUACCCUUUGCUGUUACACACUUGCAGUUACUUACCUCGGGAUUAUGGCCAGGUAAUGCAGAGGAAAUUUCGAGAAGAUGGACACCAUAACGUCGCCG